rnacentral:tRNA from 1 species
UCCCUGGUGGUCUAGUGGUUAAGGACUCAGCACUGUUACUGCUGAGGCUGGGUUACUGCGGAGCCUGGGGUUGAUUCCUGGCUUGGGAA